GGGCCCGCACAAGCGGUGGAGCAUGUGGUUUAAUUCGAUGAUACGCGAGGAACCUUACCAGGGCUUAAAUGCAGAACGACAGAGGUGGAAACACCUCCUUCUUCGGACGGUCUGCAAGGUGCUGCAUGGUUGUCGUCAGCUCGUGCUGUGAAGUGUCGGGUUAAGUCCCAUAACGAGCGCAACCCCUAUUUCUAGUUGCCAGCGGUUCGGCCGGGGACUCUAGAGAAACUGCCAGCGUAAGCUGUGAGGAAGGUGGGGAUGACGUCAAAUCAUCACGGCCCUUACGUCCUGGGCCACACACGUGCUACAAUGGUGAGGACAGAGGGAAGCCACCCCGCGAGGGGAGCGGA
rnacentral:rRNA from 1 species